rnacentral:rRNA from 1 species
UACCAGCAACCCGAGUGGUCGGGACGAUUAUUGGGCCUAAAGCAUCCGUAGCCGGUUUUACAAGUCCUCCGUUAAAUCCAGCUGCUUAACAGAUGGGCUGCGGAGGAUACUAUAAGACUAGGAGGCAGGAGAGGCAAGCGGGACUCAGUGGGUAGGGGUAAAAUCCGUUGAUCCAUUGAAGACCACCAGUGGCGAAGGCGGCUUGCCAGAAUGCGCUCGACGGUGAGGGAUGAAAGCUGGGGGAGCAAACCGG